CUCUGUCUCUGUCGUCUCUCUCGCUGGCUUUUUAAAAAUGAGGAACCGCUCCUUGAAUGUUCUGGACAGAGCACAGAAUUGCUUCUUAAGUCAGCCCGGCGCGGUUGCAAUAGACAGCAAAAAGGUAAACGUUUGCCUGAAAUCCGCACGCCAGCUCCACCGCCCCGCCCGAUGGUCCCAGUUCCUCUGGGAAUCGUCCUGUAUGCAACAUCUUCACAAGAGUGGCAGGCAGUUGAAUCUCUGGCCUUCGUGGGACCACUGGACAUCUGGCAGAGAACCAGGAAACCACGGUUCCCUUCUGUGAGUCCCUCAGCCGGAAAACUACAAGGUGUGUGACUGUAGGAUGAGGCUUUUUGAAAGAUGAAGUACGACACUUUGAGAAAGUGUUUGGAAAGAAACUGGCUGAUGUCGAAUGGAAAUCUGAACAUUCACAGAUUUCUUUUCCUAGAUAUAGAAACGCAAAAGCUUACAUGUACACAUUUAAAAAAAAUUAAAUUAUCUUUUCUUUCUUGCC
rnacentral:lncRNA from 1 species